rnacentral:lncRNA from 1 species
AAUUUAGUAAAACUUCAUAUAAACCCUAAAUUAGUGGACUAACCGUUAUAAAAUCGCUAUUCUCGAGAGAAAUUGAGACAACAAUGGUUCCAAACCUCUUUGACCAUCAUCAUAUAUUAGUACAUGAGGCAACUAUGCAUUAAAGAAAUAUUAUUAUAUUUUUUAAAUUUUUCUCAAAAUCUAUGUGUUAACUCUUACGAAAAUAUUGAGUUUUACGUUAAACGCUCUAUAUACUUAAACCUAAACAUUUUAGUGUUGUUUUAAAAUAUCUAACAACACUCUAAAUUUGUAUUAAUGUAUGUUAAACUCACUUUCAUGAUAUAUGAGAAUUGUUAUACUUUUUUAUUAAUUAAUUUAAUAAAACUUCAUAAUACUCCAUAAAUCGGUGGAAUAACCCCUAUAAAAUCGCUAUUUUCUUUAAAAACGGACACAAGAAAGGCCUCAAAUCUCUUUCAACAUCAUCAUAUGUUAGUGCAGGAUGCAACUAUGCCUUGAAACAAUAUUGUCAUAUUUUGGAAAAUUUUCUCAAAAUCUAUGUGUUAACCCCUAUAAAAAUAUUGAAUUUUGCUAAUUGUUUUUUAUACUGAAACCUAUAAUCUUUAGUGUUGUUUUAAAAUU